AAGUCGUAACAAGGUUUCCGUGAACCUGCGGAAGGAUCAUUAACACGUAUCCAACGUUAAACAACUCCGUGAACCUUCAGCCUGCUCUCGUAGCCCACGCGGCAACAGCAAUCCCGGUAAAUCAUUGACGACCAGUUUUGAUUCGGGACCUCUGUUACGAUGUGAGAAGUUACAGUUACGAUCGAGCGGUAGAGUCAGUGGCACAGGGUCCCCAUGCCCCUUACCUCUACCCCAUUACUAAUGACUAGCUUAGCGGUAACGCGCUGAGUAAAAAAAAACCGAACAACUGUUAACAAUGGAUAUCUUGGUUCUC
rnacentral:misc_RNA from 1 species